rnacentral:rRNA from 1 species
AACGAUGGAGAGCUUGCUCUCCAGGCGUCGAGUGGCGGACGGGUGAGUAAUGCAUAGGAAUCUGCCCAGNUAGCGGGGGACAACUCGGAGAAAUCCGAGCUAAUACCGCAUACGCCCUACGGGGGAAAGCGGGGGACCUUCGGGCCUCGCACUAUUGGAUGAGCCUAUGUCUGAUUAGCUUGUUGGUGGGGUAACGGCCUACCAAGGCGACGAUCAGUAGCUGGUCUGAGAGGACGAUCAGCCACACUGGGACUGAGACACGGCCCAGACUCCUACGGGAGGCAGCAGUGGGGAAUAUUGCACAAUGGGCGAAAGCCUGAUGCAGCAAUGCCGCGUGUGUGAAGAAGGCCUGCGGGUUGUAAAGCACUUUCAGUUGGGAGGAAAAGCAAUGGGCCAAUACCCCGUUGUCUUGACGUUACCUACAGAAGAAGCACCGGCUAACUCUGUGCCAGCAGCCGCGGUAAUACAGAGGGUGCAAGCGUUAAUCGGAAUUACUGGGCGUAAAGCGCGCGUAGGCGGUUUGGUCAGUCGGAUGUGAAAGCCCCGGGCUUAACCUGGGAAUUGCAUUCGAUACUGCCAGACUAGAGUGUAGUAGAGGGAAGCGGAAUUCCAGGUGUAGCGGUGAAAUGCGUAGAUAUCUGGAGGAACAUCAGUGGCGAAGGCGGCUUCCUGGACUAACACUGAC